rnacentral:rRNA from 1 species
GAUGAACGCUGGCGGCGUGCCUAAUACAUGCAAGUCGAGCGAACAGAUAAGGAGCUUGCUCCUUUGACGUUAGCGGCGGACGGGUGAGUAACACGUGGGUAACCUACCUAUAAGACUGGGAUAACUUCGGGAAACCGGAGCUAAUACCGGAUAACAUUUGGAACCGCAUGGUUCUAAAGUGAAAGAUGGUUUUGCUAUCACUUAUAGAUGGACCCGCGCCGUAUUAGCUAGUUGGUAAGGUAACGGCUUACCAAGGCGACGAUACGUAGCCGACCUGAGAGGGUGAUCGGCCACACUGGAACUGAGACACGGUCCAGACUCCUACGGGAGGCAGCAGUAGGGAAUCUUCCGCAAUGGGCGAAAGCCUGACGGAGCAACGCCGCAUGAGUGAUGAAGGGUUUCGGCUCGUAAAACUCUGUUAUUAGGGAAGAACAAAUGUGUAAGUAACUGUGCACGUCUUGACGGUACCUAAUCAGAAAGCCACGGCUAACUACGUG